rnacentral:rRNA from 1 species
UACGUAGGGUGCGAGCGUUAAUCGGAAUUACUGGGCGUAAAGCGUGCGUAGACGGUUUUGUAAGUCUGAUGUGAAAUCCCCGGGCUCAACCUGGGAAUUGCAUUCGAGACUGCAAGGCUUGGGUGCGGAAGAGGGAAGCGGAAUUUCCGGUGUAGCGGUGAAAUGCGUAGAUAUCGGAAGGAACAUCAGUGGCGAAAGCGGCUUCCUGGUCCAGCACCGACGUUCAGGCACGAAAGCGUGGGGAGCAAACAGG